UCCCUGGUGGUCCAGUUGCUAAGACUCUGUGCUUCCAAUGCAGGGGGCUCAGGUUUGAUCCCUGGUCAGGGAA
rnacentral:tRNA from 1 species